rnacentral:tRNA from 1 species
AUCUUUAUAGUUUAUUUUUAAAAUAUUACACUGAAAAUGUAAAGAAAAUUGUUUAAAGAUA